AAAAUUUAAAAUCUGGCGGCCUUUGGCCGUCCGAGUUGUAGUCUGGAGAAGUGCUUUCCGCGCUGGACCGUGUAUAAGUCUYUUGGAACAGAGCGUCAUAGAGGGUGAGAAUCCCGUCUUUGACACGGACUACCAGUGCUUUGUGAUGCGCUCUCGAAGAGUCGAGUUGUUUGGGAAUGCAGCUCAAAAUGGGUGGUGAAUUCCAUCUAAAGCUAAAUAUUGGCGAGAGACCGAUAGCGAACAAGUACCGUGAGGGAAAGAUGAAAAGCACUUUGGAAAGAGAGUUAAACAGUACGUGAAAUUGCUGAAAGGGAAACGCUUGAAGUCAGUCGCGUCGUCCGGAACUCAGCCUUGCUUUCGCUUGGUGCACUUUCCGGAUGACGGGUCAGCAUCGAUUUUGACCGUCGGAAAAGGGCUAGAGUAAUGUGGCACCUSCGGGUGUGUUAUAGACUCUGGUCGCAUACGGCGGUUGGGAUCGAGGAACGCAGCGCGCCGCANGGCAGGGGUUCGCCCACUUUCGCGCUUAGGAUGCUGGCAUAAUGGCUUUAAACGACCCGUCUUGAAACACGGACCAAGGAGUCUAACAUACCUGCGAGUGUUUGGGUGGAAAACCCGAGCGCGUAAUGAAAGUGAAAGUUGAGAUCCCUGUCGUGGGGAGCACCGACGCCCGGACCUGACGUUCUCUGACGGAUCCGCGGUAGAGCAUGUAUGUUGGGACCCGAAAGAUGGUGAACUAUGCCUGAAUAGGGUGAAGCCAGAGGAAACUCUGGUGGAGGCUCGUAGCGAUUCUGACGUGCAAAUCGAUCGUCAAAUUUGGGUAUAGGGGCGAAAGACUAAUCGAACCAUCUAGUANCUGGUUCCUGCNNNNNUUUCCCUCAGGAUAGCAGAAACUCAUUAUCAGAUUUAUGUGGUAAAGCGAAUGAUUANAGGCCUUGGGGUUGAAACAACCUUAACCUAUUCUCAAACUUU
rnacentral:rRNA from 1 species